rnacentral:rRNA from 1 species
GACGAACGCUGGCGGCGUGCUUAACACAUGCCAGUCGAACGGAAAGGCCCUGCUUUUGUGGGGUGCUCGAGUGGCGAACGGGUGAGUAACACGUGAGUAACCUGCCCUUGACUUUGGGAUAACUUCAGGAAACUGGGGCUAAUACCGGAUAGGAGCUCCUGCUGCAUGGGGGGGGUUGGAAAGUUUCGGCGGUUGGGGAUGGACUCGCGGCUUAUCAGCUUGUUGGUGGGGUAGUGGCUUACCAAGGCUUUGACGGGUAGCCGGCCUGAGAGGGUGACCGGCCACAUUGGGACUGAGAUACGGCCCAGACUGCUACGGGAGGCAGAAGUGGGGAAUAUUGCACAAUGGGCGGAAGCCUGAUGAAGCAACGCCGCGUGCGGGAUGACGGCCUUCGGGUUGUAAACCGCUUUCGCAUGUGACGAAGCGUGAGUGACGGUAAUGGGUAAAGAAGCACCGGCUAACUACGUG